rnacentral:lncRNA from 10 species
UGGAGCUUCACUCUUGUUGCCCGGGCUGGAGUGCAGUGGCACGAUCUCAGCUCAUUGCAACCUCUGCCUCCCAGGUUCAAGCGAUUCUUCUGCCUCAGCCUCCCGAGUAGCUGGGAUUAUAGGCACCACCACGCCCGGCUAAUUUUUUAUAUUUUUAGUAAAGACGGGGUUUUGCCAUCUUGGGCAGGCUGGUCUCGAACUCCUGACCUCAGGUGAUCCGCCUGCCUUGGCCUCCUAAAGUGCUGGGAUUACAGGGGUGAGCCAUCACGCCCGGCAACUUC